UACAGAGACUGCGAGCGUUAUUCGGAUUCACUGGGCGUAAAGGGCGCGCAGGCGGCCAAGUGUGUCAGGCGUGAAAGCCCGGGGCUUAACCCCGGAAUUGCACCGCAAACUACAUGGCUAGAGCAUUGGAGAGGGUAGCAGAAUUCACGGUGUAGCAGUGAAAUGCGUAGAUAUCGUGAGGAAUACCAGUGGCGAGGGCGGCUCCCUGGACAAUUGCUGACGCUGAGGCACGAAAGCGUGGGGAGCAAACGGG
rnacentral:rRNA from 1 species